GAGUUUGAUCGUGGCUCAGGAUGAACGCUGGCGGCGUGCUUAACACAUGCAAGUCGAACGAUGAUCCCAGCUUGCUGGGGGAUUAGUGGCGAACGGGUGAGUAACACGUGAGUAACCUGCCCUUGACUCUGGGAUAAGCCUGGGAAACUGGGUCUAAUACCGGAUAUGACCUUCCAUCGCAUGGUGGUUGGUGGAAAGCUUUUGUGGUUUUGGAUGGACUCGCGGCCUAUCAGCUUGUUGGUGAGGUAAUGGCUUACCAAGGCGACGACGGGUAGCCGGCCUGAGAGGGUGACCGGCCACACUGGGACUGAGACACGGCCCAGACUCCUACGGGAGGCAGCAGUGGGGAAUAUUGCACAAUGGGCGCAAGCCUGAUGCAGCGACGCCGCGUGAGGGAUGACGGCCUCGGUUGUUAACCGUCUUCUAGUAGGUAAGGAAGUACGCAAGGUAGACGGUACCGUCGCAGAAGAAGACG
rnacentral:rRNA from 1 species